rnacentral:rRNA from 1 species
AGCAGCCGCGGUAAUUCCAGCUCCAAUAGCGUAUAUUAAAGUUGUUGCAGUUAAAAAGCUCGUAGUUGAAUUUCGGGAUCAAUAUAUUGGUCAUGCUUAGGUAUGUACUGGUAUUAUUGAUUUCUCCCUUCUGAAGAACCAUAAUGUCAUUAAUUUGAUGUCAUGGGGAAUCAGGACUGUUACUUUGAAAAAAUUAGAGUGUUUAAAGCGGGCUUUCGCUUGAAUACAUUAGCAUGGAAUAAUGAAAUAGGACGUUUGAUUCUAUUUUGUUGGUUUCUAGGAUCGACGUAAUGAUUAAUAGGGAUAGUUGGGGGCAUUAGUAUUCAAUUGUCAGAGGUGAAAUUCUUGGAUUUAUUGAAGACUAACUACUGCGAAAGCAUUUGCCAAGGAUGUUUUCAUUAAUCAAGAACGAAAGUUAGGGGAUCGAAGACGAUCAGAUACCGUCGUAGUCUUAACCAUAAACUAUGCCGACUAGGGAUCGGAUGAUGUUAACUUUU